GAAAUGCGAUAAGUAAUGUGAAUUGCAGAAUUCAGUGAAUCAUCGAAUCUUUGAAAGCACCUUGCGCUCCUUGGUAUUCCUUGGAGCAUGCCUGUUUGAGUAUCAUGAAAUCUUCAAAGUAAAUCUUUUGUUAACUCAAUUGGUUUCUACUUUGGUAUUGGAGGUCUUUGCAGCUUCACACCUGCUCCUCUUUGUUCAUUAGCUGGAUCUCAGUGUUAUGCUUGGUUCCACUCGGCGUGAUAAGUUAUCUAUCGCUGAGGACACUGUAAAAGGUGGCCAAGGUAAAUGCAGAUGAAACGCUUCUAAUAGUCCAUUGACUUUGACAAUACUUUUAUGAUCUGAUCUCAAAUCAGGUAGGACUACCCGCUGAACUUAAGC
rnacentral:misc_RNA from 1 species